GACGAACGCUGGCGGCGUGCUUAACACAUGCAAGUCGUACGGUAAGGCCCUUUCGGGGGUCCACGAGUGGCGAACGGGUGAGUAACACGUGAGUAACCUGCCCACAACUUUGGGAUAACGCUAGGAAACUGGUGCUAAUACUGGAUAUGUGCUCCUGCUGCAUGGUGGGGGUUGGAAAGCUCCGGCGGUUGUGGAUGGACUCGCGGCCUAUCAGCUUGUUGGUGGGGUAGUGGCCUACCAAGGCGGCGACGGGUAGCCGGCCUGAGAGGGUGACCGGCCACAUUGGGACUGAGAUACGGCCCAGACGCCUACGGGAGGCAGCAGUGGGGAAUAUUGCACAAGGGGCGCAAGCCUGAUGCAGCAACGCCGCGUGCGGGAUGACGGCCUUCGGGUUGUAAACCGCUUUCAGCAGGGACGAAGCUUUUUGUGACGGUACCUGCAGAAGAAGCACCGGCUAACUACGUG
rnacentral:rRNA from 1 species